UACGUAGGGUGCGAGCGUUAAUCGGAAUUACUGGGCGUAAAGUGUGCGCAGGUGGCUGAGCAAGUCGAGUGUGAAAUCCCCGGGCUUAACUUGGGAAUUGCGCUCGAAACUACUUGGCUCGAGUGUGGCAGAGGAAGGUGGAAUUUCAGGUGUAGCGGUGAAAUGCGUAGAGAUCUGGAGGAACACCGAUGGCGAAGGCAGCCUUCUGGGCCAACACUGACGCUCAUGCACGAAAGCGUGGGGAGCAAACAGG
rnacentral:rRNA from 1 species